rnacentral:rRNA from 1 species
ACUAGAGUACAGGAGGGGGCAGUGGAAUUCCAUGUGUAGCGGUAAAAUGCGUAGAUAUAUGGAGGAACACCGGUGGCGAAGGCGGCUGCCUGGCCUGUAACUGACGCUGAGGCACGAAAGCGUGGGGAGCAAAUAGGAUUAGAUACCCUAGUAGUCCACGCUGUAAACGAUGAUUACUAAGUGUUGGAGAAAUUCAGUGCUGCAGUUAACGCAAUAAGUAAUCCGCCUGGGGAGUAUGCACGCAAGUGUGAAACUCAAAGGAAUCGACGGGACCCCGCACAAGCGGUGGAGUAUGUGGUUUAAUUCGAAGCAACGCGAAGAACCUUACCAGGUCUUGACAUGGUGUUUAAGGCCCUAGAGAUAGGGAGAUAAUAAGCACACACAGGUGGUGCAUGGUUGUCGUCAGCUCGUGUCGUGAGAUGUUGGGUUAAGUCCCGCAACGAGCGCAACCCUUGUCUUUAGUUACCAUCAUUAAGUUGGGGACUCUAGAGAGACUGCCGGUGAUAAACCGGAGGAAGGUGGGGAUGACGUCAAAUCACCAUGCCCCUUAUGACCUGGGCUACACACGUACUACAAUGGCGCAUACAGCGAGUUGCGAGAUGGUGACAUCAAGCGGAUCUCNNNAAAUGCGUCUCAGUUCGGAUUGGAGUCUGCAACUCGACUCCAUGAAGUCGGAAUCGCUAGUAAUCGCGGAUCAGCAUGCCGCGGUGAAUACGUUCUCGGGGUUUGUCACACCGCCCGUCAAACCACGAAAGU